CCUACGGGAGGCAGCAGUAGGGAAUUUUGCGCAAUGGGCGAAAGCCUGACGCAGCAACGCCGCGUGAUUGAUUAAGCCCUUCGGGGUGUAAAGAUCUGUCAGUGGGGACGAAACUUGACGGUACCCACAGAGGAAGCACCGGCUAACUCCGUGCCAGCAGCCGCGGUAACACGGCGGGUGCAAGCGUUGUCCGGAAUCAUUGGGCGUAAAGAGGUCGUAGGUGGCAUAUUAAGUCUGGUGUUAAAUGCAGAAGCUCAACUUCUGUUGGGCAGUGGAUACUGGUAAGCUUGAAUGCGGUAGAGGUAAAGGGAAUGCGUGGUGUAGCGGUGAAAUGCAUAGAUAUCAGGAAGAACUUCGGUGGCGAAAGCGCUUUACUGGGGCGUAAUUGACACUGAGGAACGAAAGCGGGGGUAGCGAAUGGGAUUAGAUACCCCAGUAGUC
rnacentral:rRNA from 1 species